GGGCUGCACCCAUGGCAUAUAGAGAUUCCCAGGCUAGGAGUCUAAUUGGAGCUACAGCUGCGGGCUUACACCACAGCCAAAGCAACGCCAGAUCCGAGCCGCAUCUGCAACCUACACCACAGCUCAUGGCAACACCAGAUCCUUAACCCACUGAGCAAGACCAAGUAUCAAACCUGCAACCUCAUGGUUCCUAGUCAGAUUUGUUUCUGCUGCGCCAAGACAGGAAAUCCUCCUCUACCAUCUUGAUCUGUCUCUAUUAAUUUGUAAAAUCGAUUGAUAAUUCUUGCCUAUAACAGGUAUUACUAUAGUCUUAGCAAAACUAUGAUUUUUUUUUUUUGCUUUCAUCAUUCCUUUCAUAUUUAUUAAGAUUCUACUAUAAGAAAAAGAGCUGUUCCUUCUCUCAUAUUUAUUUAGGUAUUCGAUUAUUUAUUUUUGUAAGACUCAGGGAUGGUUGUGUAUUAUAAUCCAUUACUGUCCUUAUUUACAAUGUUACCCUUAUUGUCCCACUGUUGCUCACAAGCCACUGAGCUCAAGGUGUUUUGGUGUGUUUUUGACAUGUCCUUUCUUUAGCAGUUCCUGACCUUCUCACACAGGAUAUUCCAGGCUCGUCUUUUUUUUUUUUUUCAAUAUUUGCAAACCAUAUUUUUUUGGCCAUGCCUACAGCAUGUGGAAGUUCCAGGGCCAGGAAUGCAACCCAUGCUACAGCAACCCAAGCCGCUACAGCACCAACACCUGAUCCUUAACUAAUGGCACUGCGAAAGAACACACCGAACUCAUUUGCACUUCAGUUCCCCAGCCCUGGAGUCAGCUGCUCCUUUCAUGGGAGAAUGACAUUCACAAACCUUGGGCACUAGGUAUUGCCUGUUGCUACUAGGGCUAGUGCGUCUGGGCCCGCUGGUGGACAGAGCUAGGAAACUGAUGAUGCGUACACACACCAAAGUACUUUUUUUUAAAUCCCUGUUUUACAAACUAUAUAAAUGAGACACAGAAACAUUAAGUAACUUGGCCAAAAUCACAACGAUAAUAAGUAACAGAACUGAGAAGUCAAAAUAAUAAUAGAUUUACCACAAAACUAAAUAAGUGGAAGUAACUUCUUUACACAUACAAGUGAGCAGAGAGCAAUAAGCCUGAUAUUCCAACACAGAAACACACUUAGGGAAAUAACUACAAGUGUGCAAAAAUAACCAGGAUAAUAACAAUCAUGAACUGAACGCCUGCUUGAGACUGGGCCCACAGUAGCUCCUUCAGUCAUAACAACAUUGCAAGGUGGAUACUAAUAUCCACUGCUUUUUUUGGGCUGCAUCUGCAGCAUAUUGAAGUUCCCAGGCUAGGGAGCAAAUCAGAACUGCAGCUGCUGGGCUACAUCACAGCCACAGCAAUGGUAGAUCUGAGGUGCAUCCGUGACCUAUACUGCAGCUCAUGGCAAUAUCGGAUCCUUAACCACUGAGCAAGGCCAGGGAUCAAACCCACAUCCUCAUGGAUACUAGUUGGAUUCGUUACCACUGAGGCACUGAGUCACAGAGUGGGUAUUAGUGGAGAACCAAAGGUCAUAAAAGCCAAGUGACUUCUCCAAGACUACGUAGUUAAAUGAUAGAGCAAACAAGCAGUUGACCCCAGGUCUGUCUGGAUAUAAAGUCCAUGCUCUUUCACUGUAUCAAUGUUUUCCAAAACUGAUUAUAGAUAAAACAUAAAUAAGCUUUUAUUUUAACAGUCAUAUGUUUAUUUUAAUGCAUCUUGGAAAUAAAUCUAAGCAUUAUUGAACUCAUAAUCUCAUGGAAAAUAUUGCAUAGAAUGAAGAUAUUAUAUAAAUUAAAUUUAUUUAAAGAAAAAAGUAUGAAAUAAAUAAUAGUAGAGGUAGUAUAAGCUAUAGAAAAAAUAAUUAAGAUGGUUCAAAAGUGUCUGAUGGGAGUUCCUCUCGUGGCUCAGUGGAAACGAAACUGACUAGCAUUUAUGAGGAUGCAGGUUCAAUCCCUGGCCUUGCUCAGUGGAUUAAGGAUCCAGCACUGUCGUGAGCUGUGGUAUAGGUCACAGAUGCAGCUUGGAUCUGGUGUUGCUGUGGCUGUGGUGUAGGCCAUCAACGACAGCUCUGAUUCGACCCCUAGCCUGGGAACCUCCACGUGCCACGGGUGCAGCCCUAAAAAGGCCAAAACAGACAUAAAACUACAAGUCUUGAACCUGGGUUUUAACUUGAGGUGAGUCACCAUUUCCUUUGUGAACCUGAGCAUUUCAUUUGCUCUCUCUGGGUCUCAGUUUCCUCCCCUGAAAAUAAAAGGGGCAGUGGGAGUUCCAUGGUGGCUCAGUGGUUGGUGAAUCUGACCAGGAUCCAUGGGGACACAGGUUCAAUCCCUGGACUUGUUCAGUGGGUUGGGGAUCUGGCAGUGCCGUGAGCUGUGGUGUAGGUCACAGAUGCAGCUCAGAUCCCGUUUUGCUGUGGCUGUGGCCGGCAGCUGUAGCUCUGAUAUGACCCCUAGCCUGGGAACCACCAUAUGCUGCAGGUGCAACCCUAAAAAGAUGAAAAAAACAAAAAUAAAAGGAGAGUGAUUUAGUUAAUUAGUACAACUCUUUUUUUUUUUUUUUGUCUUUUGUCCUUUUAGGGCCUCAUCCACAGCAUAUGGAGGUUUCCAGGCCAGCAGUCCAAUCAGAACUAUAGCUGCUGGCCUACACCACAGCCACAGCAACUUGGGAUCCUUAACCCACUGAGCAAGGCCAGGGAUCGAACCAGCAACCUCAUGGUUCCUAGUCAGAUUCGUUUCCUCUGUGCCACGACAGGAAGCCCAGUACAACUCUUUUAAAAUCAAUUUGGUAAUGAUAUCAAGAAGCAUAAAGCUGUUCUCAACUUUUGACCCAGUAAUUCCACUUGAGAAAUCUUCCCCAAGACAGCAAUUCAACAUUUGGAAAACAGUCACAAGCACAAAGAAACUGAUCAAUAUCCAAAAAAUAAAACAACCUAAGUAUUCAGCAAUGAGACAUUUAAUAAUCUGGAGAACAAAUACUUGGGAGUGUUAGGCAGUCAUUCAAAACAUCAGUUAUAAAUGUUUUAAGACAACACAGGAACAUGCCUACAAAAGUGAACAAAAAGAAAUUUGUUCACACGCUGUGGCUAUAUUUAAAAAAUUAUACAUGGAGUUCCCACUGUGGCUCUGUGGAAAUGAACCUGAUUGAGAUCCACGAGGAUGUGGGUUUGAUCCCUGGCUCAGUGGGUCAAGGAUCUGGCAUUGCUGUGAGCUGAGGUGUAGGUUGCAGACAUGGCUUGGAUCUGGCAUUGUUGAGGCUGUGGCAUAGGCCAGCAGCUGCAGUUCCAACUCAACCCCUAGCCUGGGAACUUCCACAUGCUGCAGGUGUGGUCCUAAAAAGCAAAAACAGAGAAAAAGAAAAAGAAAAUAAAUACAGGAGUUCCCGUCGUGGCGCAGUGGUUAACGAAUCCGACUAGGAACCAUAAGGUUGCGGGUUCGAUCCCUGCCCUUGCUCAGUGGGUUAACGAUCCGGCGUUGCCAUGAGCUGUGGUGUAGGUUGCAGACGCGGCUCGGAUCCCGAGUUGCUGUGGCUCUGGCGUAGGCCGGUGGCUACAGCUCCGAUUCAACCCCUAGCCUGGGAACCUCCAUAUGCCGAGGGAGCGGCCCAAGAAAUAGCAACAACAACAACAACAACAACAACAACAAAGACAAAAAUAAAUAAAUAAAUAAAUAAAAAUAAAAAAAAAAAACAAACAAACAAAAAAAAAGAAAAUAAAUACAAUUAAAUGAGGAGUUCCCAUUGUGGCUCAGUGGAAAUGAACCUGACCAGCAUACAUGAGGACACAGGUUCAAUCCCUGGCCUCGCUCAGUGGGUUAAUGAUUUGGUGUUGCUGUGAGCUGUGGUGUAGGUCGAAGACGAGGCUUGGAUAUGGCGUUGCUGUGGCUGUGGUGUAGGCAGGCAGCUGUAGCUCCAAUUCGACCCCUAGCC
rnacentral:lncRNA from 1 species